CAGAUAGUUUAUUUCAUUGAGCUGACAGUUCCUUGGGAAGACUCAGUGGAAGAGGCCUAUGAAAGAAAAAAGCUUAGAUAUGCAGACUUAGGAGCAGAAGCUGAGCAGCGAGGAUGGAAGACUAGGAUUUGUCCAGUGGAAGUGGGGUGUAGGGGAUUCAUAGCAAGAUCAGCUGUCUCGCUCCUGGGGGAACUCGGAGUGCGGGGACAGAGUUUGAGGAAGACAGUGAGGGAAAUGUCAGAUGAAGCAAUUAAAUGUAGCCAGUUUAUCUAUAAGAGAAGAAAAAAUGUUGGGGGCCAGCAGGGGGAACUACUAAACAGGGCACAUAACUCCUUGAGAUCAGGUGGAGAGAUCCACUUCCUCUCAGGAGGAAAUCCAGGAAGAGGAAGUAUUUAAGUGUGGGAGUGGCCUAUUUGAAUCCAUUUUGUUUGAGGCCAUGCGGCAAGGUGUGGAGGAAAAUUAAGUGGUCUGCAGAGUUUUUUUUUUCUACUUGUCGAGAAGUCAUGAACAUCUGGCUUAAUGGGAGCUGCUCUGACCAUGUGAUUAACGACGUGACACUGAUGGAUACAUGCGCACAAGGACACAUUUUUCCUUUUUUGUCUUGAAGCUUAAAAUACCACCUGUGUUUGUUUCACAGGUUUUUAUGGCUCUGUCAGCUUAAAAAUGACAUUUACUGGACUCACUGUUGUCAGAGUUUCAAAACAAAGCAGGAUGCUUCAGAUGUCCACUUGACCUGGAUUGCAAAUACUCACAGGGAGACCACAGUAUGUCAGGCUGAGAGACUGCUGCUCUGAGACUGUGGUCAGCAACACUGGCACACCGCAGGGGACCGUGCUCUCCCCUGUCUUGUUUACCCUUUUUAGUACAACUCUGAGUCAUGCCACGUGCAGAAGUUCUCAGAUGACACUGCAAUCGUGGGGUGUAUUAGAAGUGGACAAGAGGGCAAGUACAGGAGACUGACGGAGGACUUCAUGAAAUGGUACAGGUCAAACUGUCUACAGCUGAACACCUUCAAGACCAAAGAGAUGGUGGUGGAUUUCUGGAGGACCAGACGCCAUCUGCAAUUGGUUUUGAUC